rnacentral:rRNA from 1 species
AGUGAACGCUGGCGGCAGGCCUAAUACAUGCAAGUCGAACGGCAGCACAGCAGAGCUUGCUCUGUGGGUGGCGAGUGGCGGACGGGUGAGGAAUACAUGGGAAUCUGCCCAGUCGUGGGGGAUAACGUAGGGAAACUUACGCUAAUACCGCAAUGCGCCCUUCGGGGGAAAGCCGGGGACCGUAAGGCCUGGCGCGAUUGGAUGAGCCCAUGUCGGAUUAGCUAGUUGGCGGGUAAAGGCCCACCAAGGCGACGAUCCGUAGCUGGUCUGAGAGGAUGAUCAAGCCACACUGGGAACUGAGACACGGUCCAGACUCCUACGGGAGGCAGCAGUAGGGAAUAUUGGACAAUGGGCGCAAGCCUGAUCCAGCCAUGCCGCGUGAGUGAAGAAGGCCCUCGGGUUGUAAAGCUCUUUUGUCCGGAAAGAAAAGCGCCGGGUUAAUACCCCUGGUGUCCUGACGGUACCGGAAGAAUAAAGCACCGGCUAACUUCGUGCCAGCAGCC